AUGAACGCUGGCGGCGUGCCUAAUCCAUGCAAGUCGAGCGAACGGACGAGAAGCUUGCUUCUCUGAUGUUAGCGGCGGACGGGUGAGUAACACGUGGAUAACCUACCUAUAAGACUGGGAUAACUUCGGGAAACCGGAGCUAAUACCGGAUGAUAUUUUGAACCGCAUGGUUCAAAAGUGAAAGACGGUCUUGCUGUCACUUAUAGAUGGAUCCGCGCUGCAUUAGCUAGUUGGUAAGGUAACGGCUUACCAAGGCAACGAUGCAUGGCCGACCUGAGAGGGUGAUCGGCCACACUGGAACUGAGACACGGUCCAGACUCCUACGGGAGGCAGCAGUAGGGAAUCUUCCGCAAUGGGCGAAAGCCUGACGGAGCAACGCCGCGUGAGUGAUGAAGGUCUUCGGAUCGUAAAACUCUGUUAUUAGGGAAGAACAUAUGUGUAAGUAACUGUGCACAUCUUGACGGUACCUAAUCAGAAAGCCACGGCUAACUACGUG
rnacentral:rRNA from 1 species